CGCUGGCGGCAGGCCUAACACAUGCAAGUCGAACGCACCGCAAGGUGAGUGGCGCACGGGUGAGUAACACGUGGGAAUGUACCCUUUGGUUCGGAAUAACGUUUGGAAACGAACGCUAAUACCGGAUGAGCCCUGCGGGGGAAAGAUUUAUCGCCAAAGGAGCAGCCCGCGUCUGAUUAGCUAGUUGGUGGGGUAAAGGCCUACCAAGGCGACGAUCAGUAGCUGGUCUGAGAGGAUGAUCAGCCACACUGGGACUGAGACACGGCCCAGACUCCUACGGGAGGCAGCAGUGGGGAAUAUUGGACAAUGGGCGCAAGCCUGAUCCAGCCAUGCCGCGUGAGUGAUGAAGGCCUUCGGGUUGUAAAGCUCUUUCGCACGCGACGAUGAUGACGGUAGCGUGAGAAGAAGCCCCGGCUAACUUCGUG
rnacentral:rRNA from 1 species